GUAGAGUAGUGUAGAUUAGAGUAGAGUAGUGUAGAGUAGAGUAGUGUAGAGUAGUGUAGAGUAGAGUAGAGUAGAGUAGAGUAGAGUAGAGUAGAGUAGAGUAGUGUAGAGUAGAGUAGUAUAGAGUAGAGUAGAGUAGAGUAGAGUAGAGUAGAGUAGAGUAGAGUAGAGUAGUAUAGAGUAGAGUAGAGUAGAGUAGUGUAGAGUAGAGUAGAGUAGAGUAGAGUAGAGUAGUGUAGAGUAGAGUAGUGUAGAGUAGUGUAGAGUAGAGUAGAGUUGAGUAGAGUAGUGUAGAGGAGAGUAGAGUACUGUAGAGUAGAGUAGUGUAGAGUAGAGUAGUGUAGAGUAGAG
ensembl:lncRNA